rnacentral:rRNA from 1 species
CCCUUAGAUGUUCUGGGCCGCACGCGCGCUACACUGAUGCAUUCAACGAGUCUAAAACCUGCUCUGAUAGGGGUGGGUAAUCUUUUGAAUGUGCAUCGUGAUUGGGAUAGAUGAUUGCACUUUUUCAUCUUCAACGAGGAAUGCCUAGUAAACGCAAGUCAUCAGCUUGCAUUGAUUACGUCCCUGCCCUUUGUACACACCGCCCGUCGCUCCUACCGAUUGAAUGAUCCGAUGAAUAUCAUGGAUUGAGGAUGCAAGUAGGUUAGCCUAUCUUCAUCUUCGAGAAGUGAAGUAAAUCUUAUCAUUUAGAGGAAGGAGAAGUCGUAACA